UGCGUAGGCGGCUUAUUAAGUCAGAUGUGAAAGCCCCGGGCUUAACCUGGGAACUGCAUUUGAUACUGGUAAGCUAGAGUAUGGUAGAGGGGGUAGAAUUCCUAGUGUAGCGGUGAAAUGCGUAGAUAUCAGGAGGAAUACCAGUGGCGAAGGCGGCCCCCUGGACCAAUACUGACGCUGAGGUACGAAAGCGUGGGUAGCGAACA
rnacentral:rRNA from 1 species